rnacentral:lncRNA from 1 species
AGUGUUCUCACGAGAUCUGGUUGUUUUAAACUGGCUGCUCUCCUCUACAUUCGGUGGCCUUGGGAACACCAAAGAUGUGGCCUUGGCAACACUUGCACAUCGAGGUCAAGAGGCCAGGAAGAGCAUCCUGCCUUCUAACUCCUUUGAAGUUUACUCAAAAUUCUCAUCCUGAACUGGACUUUUGGACUCAACAACAAAAGAUCGUGGCCAGUCUGUAUCACACGGGGCUUGGAAAGUAGUCAUAAGAGAACACACUUUCAUUACUGUGGCCUGAAAAGUGCAGGGAUGACGCUGUGUUUCAGAGGAAUUCAUAAGCAGAAUUGAAUUUGUUUUAGUUAACUCCUUAUUUGAUUGGAAUAUUGUCGACUUAACAAAAUAGUAGAAAGAGCAUUGGGCUGAAGUGAGAAGAUUUGAAUUCUAGUCCAAAAUCUGUUACUAACCAGCUCUUUGACCCUGAGAAGUCAUUUGACUUGAAUUAUAGUCUUUUUCUUAUAUGGGAAAGGUGGAGUAUACUCAGAGUCUCUCCUAAGUGCUAAGAUUCUGUGAUUCUAUGAAAUCAGACCAUCAGAGAGGAAUACUGCAGUGUUCUCCUGCAUGGGUUGUAAAUGAGAAAAAAGAAAGAAGGAGAGCAAAAUGACUUAAAGACAUUUUCAAGAAAAAAAGAGGAGAGAAGUCACUGAAAUGGAAAAAUAAACAUAUUAUAUAACUAUUUAUUGCACUAUGCAAUAAAAACAUCUUCAGCAACAGCCACACAAGUGCGGGUAGAGGGUCUGCUUUGAAGAGAGAAAAAA